AAAAUUGAUGGUUUGGUGGGAAAAUAAACAAAAACUGCUCUUUUGAUUUUGUUUUUGUUUUGUCUUACUUUUUCUGCUAUUCACAACUUGACCAAAGAGCGCAUCUCCCAUGCUUACUUUGUCCUUCAUUACUUAUUGUCCAGUUCACACAGGGAUGUGCUGGAUCCGGCUUUUACCAGCUUUGCAAUCAAACAAAUCUAGAUCUGAUCUCCACUAACCCUCAAACAACUAUGGGAAUUAGAAAGGACUCAGCCCUCUCAGUAAUGCCUAACCACAGUUAAUGGGUGCAGCACACCAACAUGGCACAUGUAUACAUAUGUAACAAACCUGCACGUUGUGCACAUGUACCCUAGAACUUAAAAGUAUAAUAAAAAAAUAAAAAGGAAACCAUAAAAAAAAAAAAAAGAAACAUGCCCAUACUGAUUCCCAGGGAAUCAAGAAUUAAGCUCUCUCAAGAUCUUCGUGUUACACCAGAGAUACUGUUGAUUCCUUACAUUUCCAAAGGUAUCUU
rnacentral:lncRNA from 1 species